GCAACAACUUCUGCCAUUUUCGGAUUCUUCGAGCCGUUCUGCCGGAAAGAUGUAACCCCGGCCCCGGCCUUCCCUUUUCACACCUACAGUGGUUUGAGUGGUUUGUCCCCUGCUCCUGCUUCAGCGUCUAGCGUAGUGAUGUGAUGAUCUUCGGCCCAGCUCAACCGCACCCGCGCGGCCACGAUGGGUUCGAAUCACAUGUUACUUCAGGCACAGUGGACGUCUCCUUAUAAAACCCCCUUUUUACGAUUUUCUCUUCCCGAUACUUGUAUCGACCACAGUGUCCGUCCUUCUCAUGAUCCGGCACAGUAUUAGUUGCGAAUAGCCGUGGGACCGACCCCUACAGUAGUGGACGCUAAACCUCAUCAUCUCCAUGCCGCUGUAUUAUUCGGACAGAAACUGAUGGUGUUGACCCAAUCCGAGCGCCACUGAUAUCAUCGCCACUUACCGGCUUCGCAGCGUAUCUUCCCCUAGCGUUUGGUCGGCCCUACAUCUCUCCCUCCAUCCAUCCGAGACAUGUUCGCAGAUCACCACGUGCGGACAUUUUGCGAUUCCUGCAAAUUUGCUUGCCGACCGCAAAUCCUAUUCAGUGCUCACAUACUCCAAAGAAACUCCGAAACAUUUCAGCGUCAACACCAAGCACUCAAUGAGACACACUCAUGUCAGUUCCAUGUCCUCCCGCACCGCGCUUAUGGAAAUCCACUGUGCUUGCCGCAUCCACUGCGGGAUGUACUAUGGACAUGAUGAUGUGCUAGGGUGUCUUAGAUCAACAACCUUCAUCCGGCUGUGAUGGCUCACAGAUUUCAUCACUCGAUUUUCUCCACCUACCAGGGACAUGUGAUGCUACAGCAGCUGAAAAAGUGAAAAGUGAUCGGAGUAACCACACGAACUGUUAACCCGAUCCAACUUGCUUUUUCCUUCCAUUAUGCACAACAUUCGAUCUUAGGGGAUGGCCGUUGAACAUUGCAACCUGUAUGGUUGCACUGGACUCGAUGUUACUCUCAAGGAUCACUAUCAAGCCGAGUGGCACGGAGCCAAACUCC